AGGAAGGUGAGCUGGAACAAGUGGAGGCUGACCAGGCUGGGCAGUGCUCUGAGUACGCAGGGCUUUGCAGACCAGGUUCAAAUGUUGGUUUUUAACCCCAGAGCCAUAGGCAGUGAGGGGUUAGAGUACGCCUACAUUAGAAGUGAUUGCUCCUCUCAAGCAUAUCUGAAUUUCCUGGAGUACUGGGGUGGCAGUUUCAAGCUCUGCCAGCACCACAGCAAAGCUUAGCUCUUUUCUUGCAACACCCUUGUUUGG
rnacentral:lncRNA from 1 species